rnacentral:rRNA from 1 species
UGGAGGCAGCAGUGGGGAAUUGUUCGCAAUGGGCGCAAGCCUGACGACGCAAUGCCGCGUGGAGGACGAAGAUUUUCGGAUCGUAAACUCCUGUCGAGCGGGACGAACGGCCUGGGGGCUAACAUCCUCCGGGAGUGACGGUACCGCUAAAGGAAGCCCCGGCUAACUCCGUGCCAGCAGCCGCGGUAAUACGGGGGGGGCAAGCGUUGUUCGGAAUUACUGGGCGUAAAGGGCGCGUAGGCGGCCUUCUAAGUCAGACGUGAAAUCCCUCGGCUUAACCGGGGAACUGCGUCUGAUACUGGAGGGCUUGGAUCCGGGAGAGGGAUGCGGAAUUCCAGGUGUAGCGGUGAAAUGCGUAGAUAUCUGGAGGAACACCGGUGGCGAAGGCGGCAUCCUGGACCGGCAUCGACGCUGAGGCGCGAAAGCCAGGGGAGCAAACGGGAUUAGAUACCCCGGUAGA